rnacentral:rRNA from 1 species
UACAGAGGUCUCAAGCGUUGUUCGGAUUCAUUGGGCGUAAAGGGUGUGUAGGUGGCGCCGUAAAGUCGGGUGUGAAAUCCUCCCGGCUUAACUGGGAGGGUGCGGUGGAAACUGGGGUGCUUGAGUGUGGGAGAGGUAAGCGGAAUUCCUGGUGUAGCGGUGAAAUGCGUAGAUAUCAGGAGGAACACCGGUGGUGUAGACGGCUUACUGGACCACGACUGACACUGAGGCACGAAAGCGUGGGUAGCAAACAGG